rnacentral:rRNA from 1 species
UACGAAGGGUGCAAGCGUUACUCGGAAUCACUGGGCGUAAAGCGUGCGUAGGCGGUUCGUUAAGUCUGCUGUGAAAGCCCCGGGCUCAACCUGGGAAUUGCGAUGGAGACUGCAAGGCUUGAAUCUGGCAGAGGGGGGUAGAAUUCCACGUGUAGCAGUGAAAUGCGUAGAGAUGUGGAGGAACACCGAUGGCGAAGGCAGCCCCCUGGGUCAAGAUUGACGCUCAUGCACGAAAGCGUGGGGAGCAAACAGG